rnacentral:rRNA from 1 species
AUGCCCCCUGUCCUUGUCCAAGGAGCACUUCACUUCAUGCUUAAGUAUGUUGAUGACGACAGUGCAGAAAUUCUCAAGUACGACUUGACCUCUAAUAGCUUAUCACUGAUUGAUGCACCGGUUCAGUAUUCUCCAAUUGCCAGUGCCCCUAUCCUCAUGGCGAUGAAGGAUGGCAGCUUGGGGUUUGCACUAGUGGAUAAGCUAACCCUCUACAUAUGGUCAAGACUGAUGGAUUCCAACAGAGUUGCGUCAUGGACUCAAUGUAGAAUUACCAAUCUCAGUAGCCUUCUACCCAUCCAAAAUCCCGAGGAAAUUAGCCUUAUACUGGUUGGAUCUGUGGAGGGCAGUGAUACCGUUUUCGUGACCACAGACCUGGGCAUCUACGAGAUUAAUGUCAAGUCACAGCGAUGGAAGAAGAUAUGGAAGAGAGAAAAUUUCCGUUCUUUGAUUCCAUGCAUGAGUUUCUACAAUCCACAAGGGUGA